GAUGAACGCUGGCGGCGUGCCUAAUACAUGCAAGUCGAACGAAACUUCUUUAUCACCGAGUGCUUGCACUCACCGAUAAAGAGUUGAGUGGCGAACGGGUGAGUAACACGUGGGCAACCUGCCCAAAAGAGGGGGAUAACACUUGGAAACAGGUGCUAAUACCGCAUAACCAUAGUUACCGCAUGGUAACUAUGUAAAAGGUGGCUAUACUACCGCUUUUGGAUGGGCCCGCGGCGCAUUAGCUAGUUGGUAGGGUAAAGGCUUACCAAGGCAAUGAUGCGUCGCCCAAUUGCGAGGUUGCUCGGCCACAUUGGCACUUACACACGGCCCAAACUCCUACGGGAGGCCGCAGUCGGGAAUCUACCGCAAUAGGCCAAAGCCUGAUGGAGCAACGCGGCGUGGGUGAAGAAGGUCUUCUGAUCGUAAAACCCUGUUGUUAGCGAAGAAAGUGCGUUAGAGUAACUGUUCACGUUUCGACGGUAUCUAAACAGAAAGCCACGGCUAACUACGUG
rnacentral:rRNA from 1 species